UACGAAGGGGGCUAGCGUUGCUCGGAAUCACUGGGCUUAAAGGGCGCGUAGGCGGUCCGACAAGUCAGGGGUGAAAUCCUGCAGCUUAACUGUAGAAGUGCCUUUGAUACUGUCGGUCUUGAGGGAGAUAGGGGUGUGCGGAACUUCCAGUGGAGCGGUGAAAUGCGUUGAUAUUGGAAGGAACGCCGGAGGCGAAAGCGGCGCACUGGAUCUCUUCUGACGCUGAGGCGCGAAAGCUAGGGGAGCAAACGGG
rnacentral:rRNA from 1 species